rnacentral:rRNA from 1 species
GGCGGACGGGUGAGUAACGCGUGGGAACCUACCUCGAGGUGGGGGACAACCGCUGGAAACGGCGGCUAAUACCGCAUACGCCCUUUUGGGGAAAGCUUCGGCGCCCUGAGAUGGUCCCGCGUCGGAUUAGCUUGUUGGUGGGGUAACGGCCUACCAAGGCGACGAUCCGUAGCUGGUCUGAGAGGAUGACCAGCCACACUGGAACUGAGACACGGUCCAGACUCCUACGGGAGGCAGCAGUGGGGAAUAUUGGACAAUGGGGCAACCCUGAUCCAGCCAUGCCGCGUGGGUGAAGAA